UACGGAGGGUGCAAGCGUUAUCCGGAUUCACUGGGUUUAAAGGGUGCGUAGGCGGACAGGUAAGUCAGUGGUGAAAUCUCUGGGCUUAACCUGGGAACUGCGUCGGAUACUGGAUGGCUUGAAUUCGGGAGAGGGAUGCGAAUUCCAGGUGUAGCGGUGAAAUGCGUAGAUAUCGGGAGGAACACCAGUGGCGAAGGCGGCUACCUGGCCCAGCUCUUGGACGCUGAGGCGCGAAAGCUAGGGGAGCAAACGGG
rnacentral:rRNA from 1 species